rnacentral:tRNA from 1 species
AUUAAGGUAGCAAAGCCAGGUUAUGCAAAAGGCUUAAAACCUCUACACAGAUGUCCAAAUCAUCUCCUUAAUA